GCUGAGGAGUCGGCGGUGGCGGCGGCGGGCGGGGCUCGGCUCGGGCUCCGCGGGCGGGCGGGCGGACAUGGCGGCCAACAUGUACCGGGUCGGAGAUUAUGUGUACUUUGAGAAUUCCUCCAGCAACCCAUACCUAAUAAGAAGGAUAGAAGAACU